CCGGCGCACGGGCGAGUAACGCGUAUCCAACCUGCCCAUAACUAAGGGAUAACCCAGCGAAAGUUGGACUAAUACCUUAUGUAUUCGUUUGAUCUCAUGAGAUUACGAAUAAAGAUUUAUCGGUUAUGGAUGGGGAUGCGUCUGAUUAGCUUGUUGGCGGGGUAACGGCCCACCAAGGCAACGAUCAGUAGCCGGUCUGAGAGGAUGAACGGCCACAUUGGAACUGAGACACGGUCCAAACUCCUACGGGAGGCAGCAGUA
rnacentral:rRNA from 1 species